rnacentral:rRNA from 1 species
GACGAACUGUUCUAACGUUAUUCGGAAUCACUGGGCUUAAAGGGCGCGUAGGCUGUUUGUUAAGCGGGGUCUGAAAUCCCUCGGCUCAACCGAGGAACUGGGCUUCGAACUGGCAGACUAGAGUGAAGUAGGGGUAAGUGGAACUUGCGGUGGAGCGGUGAAAUGCUUUGAUAUCGCAAGGAACACCGGCGGCGAAGGCGGCUUACUGGGCUUCAACUGACGCUUAAGCGCGAAAGCUAGGGUAGCGAACGGGAUUAGAUACCCCCGUAGUCCCUGAGCGGGCUGG